rnacentral:rRNA from 1 species
CCAGCAUAGCGUCGUGAAUUAUACAUGCGAGUCGAGCGGAAGCAUAGUGAGCUGUGCUCCCUGAAGUUAGCGGCGGACGGGUGAGUAACACGUGGGCAACCUGCCUAUAAGACUGGGAUAACUCCGGGAAACCGGGGCUAAUACCGGAUAGUUCUUUUCCUCUCAUGAGGGAAAGGGGAAAGAUGGUUUCGGCUAUCACUUAUAGAUGGGCCCGCGGCGCAUUAGCUAGUUGGUAAGGUAACGGCUUACCAAGGCGACGAUGCGUAGCCGACCUGAGAGGGUGAUCGGCCACACUGGGACUGAGACACGGCCCAGACUCCUACGGGAGGCAGCAGUAGGGAAUCUUCCGCAAUGGACGAAAGUCUGACGGAGCAACGCCGCGUGAACGAAGAAGGCCUUCGGGUCGUAAAGUUCUGUUGUUAGGGAAGAACAAGUAUGAGAGUAACUGCUCGUACCUUGACGGUACCUAACCAGAAAGCCACGGCUAACUACGUGCCAGCAGCCGCGGUAAUACGUAGGUGGCAAGCGUUGUCCGGAUUUAUUGGGCGUAAAGCGCGCGCAGGUGGUUUCUUAAGUCUGAUGUGAAAGCCCACGGCUCAACCGUGGAAGGUCAUUGGAAACUGGGGAACUUGAUUGCACAAGAGGAAAGUGGAAUUCCAAGUGUAGCGGUGAAAUGCGUAGAUAUUUGGAGGAACACCAGUGGCGAAGGCGACUUUUCUGGUCUGUAA